rnacentral:rRNA from 1 species
CCUACGGGAGACAGCAGUGGGGGAUAUUGCACAAUGGGGGAAACCCUGAUGCAGCGACGCCGCGUGGGCGAAGAAGUAUUUCGGUAUGUAAAGCCCUAUCAGCAGGGAAGAAGAAAUGACGGUACCUGAGUAAGAAGCACCGGCUAAAUACGUGCCAGCAGCCGCGGUAAUACGUAUGGUGCAAGCGUUAUCCGGAUUGACUGGGUGUAAAGGGAGCGCAGGCGGCACGGCAAGCCUGAUGUGAAAGCCCGGGGCCCAACCGCGGGACUGCAUUGGGAACUACCGGGCUGGAGUGCCGGAGAGGUAGGCGGAAUGCCUAGUGUAGCGGUGAAAUGCGUAGAUAUUAGGAGGAACACCAGUGGCGAAGGCGGCCUACUGGACGGUGACUGACGCUGAGGCUCGAAAGCGUGGGGAGCAAACAGGAUUAGAUACCCUUGUAGUC